rnacentral:rRNA from 1 species
AUGAAUGCUGGCGGCGUGCCUAACACAUGCAAGUCGAGCGGAAGCGCGUCUAGUUUACUAGAUGGCGGCGAGCGGCGAACGGCUGAGUAACGCGUGGGAAUUUGCCCCAAAGUGAGGAAUAACUGCCCGAAAGGGUAGCUAAUGCCGCAUAUGGUCUUCGGAUUAAAGGAUUUAUCCGCUUUGGGAGAAGCCCGCGUACGAUUAGAUAGUUGGUGAGGUAAUGGCUCACCAAGUCUACGAUCGUUAGCUGGUCUGAGAGGAUGACCAGCCAGACUGGAACUGAGACACGGUCCAGACUCCUACGGGAGGCAGCAGUGAGGAAUCUUCCACAAUGGGCGAAAGCCUGAUGGAGCAACGCCGCGUGAAGGAUGAAGGCCCUCGGGUCGUAAACUUCUUUUAUAAGUGAAGAAUAUGACGGUAACUUAUGAAUAAGCACCGGCUAACUACGU